AAACAGCUGGCAUGCUUGAAUUGAGAAAUUGGAAAUUUCAAUAGUUUGGGAGGCUGAAGCAGUAGGAUUGUGAGUUCAAAGCCAGCCUCAGCAAAAAGUGAGGCACUAAGCAACUCCGUCAGACCCUGUCUCUAAAUAAAUACAAAAUAGAGCUGGGGAUGUGGCUCAGUGGGCAAGUGCCCCUGAGAUAAAUCCCUGAUACCACCCCCCCCAAAAAAAAGAAAAAGAAUUCUCUUCCUUAAAGAAUUUAUGAGUUUGGAUGAUAUUAUCUUGAAAGAGUGAUUCAUCAUAAUUCUCUUUCUGAUAAAGCUGUACCUUGGACAAAGUAUUUUUUCCCUACAGAGCACUCUAGAUCCUUUGAAAUUUUUUUUUGUUGUUUGUUUUUUAGUUAAGAAUCAGCUGUAAUCCAGGCAUGGUGGUGCAUGUCUGUAAUCCCAUCUGUUUAAGAGGAUCAUAAAUUCAAGGUCAGCCGGGCGUGGUGCCCAUGACUGUAAUCUCAGCUCUGGAGGCUGAAGCAAGAGGAUCACGAGUUCAAAGCCAACCUCAGCAAAAAACAAGGGGUUUCCCAAAAGGGAAGGACCAGAUGAGGAAAAGGAGCCAUCAGCCCACCUCCCUUCUUGGAGCCCAACAUGCUAAGGAGCUGGCCCUGAAAAUUUAUGUUCCAAUUUCCUUGGAUGACAUCCCAGUUGGCCACAUAAAAACUGAGAUUAGAGAUGAGCUCUCGGGUCCAGCCGGCUUCAGCCAUGAGGAACCCCAGCAGGAAAUGGAGAAGGAAGAGAGUGAGAUGAGGCACCUGAUCACCUGGUGACCUGCCUGUGAGUCCCCAUGGGUUGUGUGCAUGCUUCAAGAGGCCAUUGUUCCUCCAAAGGCAGCCCCUUCUACCAGUUUUCUCCCUUCUGAUCAUGUCCCUAGUUCUCUCCCCUCUUGCUUCAGAUCAAAUGGUAGAAACAACUCUGCUGCUGCUCACACAGGUUGCAUACUGUCCUGUGGGGUGCUCCUACAUCCACAUGUGUGUAAAUAAGCCUUCCCCAAAUAAACCAGUUUUGAGUGCAUCAUUAUCUUUUUGUAUGCUGACCCAUCAAGCAGCAUC